rnacentral:tRNA from 1 species
UACACAGCGGUGUUUGGGCACGGAGAAUUUUGAUUUCUCAAGAGAAGGUCAUAUCUUCCUGGUAA